UGUCAGGGCUGGUGGCCAAACCCGAGACUCCUGAAUGAGGUUGGUGCGUCAAGUGCGGGACGCCCGGUUUAAAUUCAUAUUUCAGAUAAAGAACAAAUAAUUCGUAGUGAAUCCCGCAUCGGCGGUGGUUGUCCUGGAAACCCAGCGGUCCGCGCACGAGGAAGAGGCCAGGCGGGAACUCCUGCCGCCGGGACCCCCAUCGCCUGCCGGCCGAGGGGGCAGCAGCCUAGUACGGGGGCUCUUGCAGGAGGCCAGCCCCGUGGCUGCGACCUUGCAGCCCGGUCGUGCGAGACAGUCCUCCCUGCGUGUCGCACGUUGAGCGUGUGUCCCCGUGUUCAAGGCCGAGAUCUACACAGAGUCCUGGGCAGUGCUGGCAUCUGACCAGAUGUGAGGGACUUGGGAAGAGCCAAUGACAGAGGGAGGCUUGAGGAAGAGGAGAGUGGACAGACGCCCCGGGCUGUCCCGGAGGCCGAGCAUGUGCCCGGAGGCAGGAGUUGGAGAGGAAUUGAGGCCUCUCAUGCUCACACCAGUGCCCUGUCCUGCCACCGUCCUAACUCAGCGCUGCGCUGGUCUGCAGUGUGGUGCCCACAGGAGGACAUCAUGCCAGCCCAGGGACUGCGAGCUGUUCAGCAUUCCUCAUGCCACAAGGUGAGUGAGGGAAACAGAGUGUGGUGUUGCCAGUCUGGCUGGCGUCGGACAGGGCAUGUGUGGCUGGAAAUGGGGACAUCAGGGGUGUUCCUCUACUACAUGCUGAUGGGUAUGUGGGAGACCUUUGCAACCCCAGAGGGGCAAGAGCCACAGGGGCUCGUAAUAGGAAGGAAGGUUGGGUUGCCCCACUGGGCUGGAACCCACCCACCCGAAGCUCUGGCUAGAGGCAAGCCCUCUUGAGAGAAAGGUCUCUUUGUUGCUUCCUGCCUGGGGCCAUCUCCCUUUCCUCUCCUGUCCUGGUUCAGGUAUUUCCUUGGGUAGUUCCAGCUUCUGCUCUGUGGCUACAGACACUGGGCAGAACCUUGCCAGAGCUCAGGGAGGUGGACAUCCCCAGAGAGCGGGCACAGAUGUCACCUCCUGCUGCCACACUGAGUGGUGUGGCUUGCCACCUGGUGGGGAGGGAAUAGGUGGUUCUGUUGAACAUCAGACACUGCACUGGGCCAGGCAGGACAUCCUGGGACGGUGGGUGUGAGUGAAGGGUGUGGCUGCCGCCGGAGUGUUUCUGCCCGGAGGGCGCCUGCCCCCUUCUCCCGGUGACAGUUCCUGCUUUGUGCAGGAACUGCCCUCUCCCCAUCCACGUGGUUCUGUUCGAGCUGCCACCCAAAACCCAGGCCCAGAAAUCACACGCCAUGUCCCCCAGCCCAGGGAGUGAGCCCUUUCCUGGACAUGGGGGGAGGACCCUGCCUUCCUACUGGGUAGCCAAGCUGGGAUGAGGUGGCCUGGCCCUGUCAGGGUCAUGCCUGUGUCCUCUUGCUGCAUGGGGAACACACGUCUGCCGUGGAGAGAAGGAGGCCAACACGCAGAGAGAAGCAGUGCAGGGAGACGAGUGGAAAGACAGAACUCCGAUGACAGCUGAGUCUUUGGAGGCCCGGAGGCCCAGGCUGACCCUGACCGUCCUGGUGGUAACUGCCUUUGGUGCCAGACACCUUGGGGCUGGCAUCGCGUCAGCUAUGACCUAAAGGGUCUCAGUGCACCAGCGCUGGAUGUCACAGCAGUGGCAGGCCACUGCGGCAGAUGGCAACAGUCCAUGCCCUGAGCAUCUCUGGGCUCCUGAGGUCCUGCAAAUACUCUGGUGGCAGGUGGGGCCCACUGAGGCCUGAGGAAGGAAGGAGGGGACCCGUCCUCAAGAGUACCCACAGCACGCCGGCACACAGACUUCCAGCGAAAGAUCUCGUGUGUCCGUCACAGGGACCUAAGCAAACCGAAAUGACAGCCCAGCCACUCAGCAGGUGUCCCCGGCCAGAGAGGCGACAGGGUGAGCUGCAGAACAUGUCUCCGGUCCUGUUCCAUGCAUGCGUGUGUGCAUACGGUAGCCGUGUGUGUAUAGAGAGUGCUCUGGGUUCCAUAUUGGACUGUAUCAUGUACCUUGUGCCUGAUUUCGUCUCCACAUGCAUGUGCCCUUUUGGAAACUUGAACGACACGUAAGGCAGGAAGACAGAGCAGACAUCUGGGGGCUUCAGCAUCAGAGACUUGGGUUCAAGACCCAGUUCUGGCACUGGAAACGAUGCCGCCCUUGGGCCAGGAUAGGCGCGGUGCCCGAGGUUUGGCCUCUUCUCUCCUCCCUGCCGGGUCUCUGUGGGGCAGGAGGGCUGCCGGCGCCGGGGCCCACCCGGUCAUCCGGAGCUCGGCCCACUCUGCUCUGGGGAGAUGGGAAGGGGUUUGCGGCCACACCUGUGCCCUACUUAAAUAGGUAGCGGUGUCAGCCUUGGUCACCGAGGGGCCUGGGGAGAAGGAGUGUCUCUGAGAAGGGAGCCAUGCGGGCCUCUUGGUCUUGAGUCCCCCCCAACACCAGAUAGGUGGAAGUUCUGGAAAGUUCUUAGCGAUGCCUGCUUCUCUUGGCCUGUCUCCUGGCCGCAGGUCCUCGGGUAGGCCACUUGCCUCCCUCAGACCCAGUGUCCCUGUCUGAGAAUGAGACACAGACGGGACGGUUCUCGGGGGUGGGUGUGGCUGAGCGCUGAGCAGUGACAGCCUCUGCAGAGAGGGACAGGGACCUGCUGGCCAUCUGCCCUCAGCAGCAGCUCUUCACUUCCAGUUACCAGUAGAGGCAGAGACUGUAUUGCCCCAGGACCUGUCCUCCCCUUCUCCUCAGUAACACAGUGCCCAGCUUGUGACUGGGCACCUGGGCACCCAGAGUGGAAAUUACAUUUUCAGUGUCCCUCACAGCUAGUUCUGGGAAUGAGGGUGAACAGCAAACCUCGUGCAACAAGAAACAUCCUUAAACACAGGGGCUAUGCUCUUCUUUGUCCCAUCUCCCUUGCUUCUGGUUGAACUGUAAAUGUGAUGGCUGGAGCAUGAGCAGCCAUCCUGGGUCAUAAGAAGGAAGCCAUCUUUGGGGAGAGCAGAACAACAAGACAGAAGGAGCGUGGGUUCCUGGUGGUUAUGGAACCUCCACAGCUGCUCUGGAGGCCUUAAGUAAAAGGGAAAGAAAUAA